rnacentral:rRNA from 1 species
AGAGUUUGAUUCUGGCUCAGGAUGAACGCUGGCGGCGUGGAUAAGGCAUGCAAGUCAAACGGGCUCUGUAGCAAUACAGAGUACAGUGGCGAACGAGUUAGUAACACCCUGGUACCUACCCCGAAGUCGGGCAUAAUCCUCCGAAAGGAGGACUAAUUCCCGAUGUUAUGGAAACAUCAAAGGCGCAAGCCGCUUUGGGAGGGGCCUAGGUCCUAUCAGCUUGUUGGUGAGGUAACGGCUCACCAAGGCUAUGACGGGUAGGAGGCGUGAGAGCGUGGCCUUCAACGACGGAACUGAGAUACGGUCCGUACACCUACGGGUGGCAGCAGUCGAGAAUAUUCGACAAUGGGCGAAAGCCUGAUCGAGCGACGCCGCGUGCAGGAAGAAGCUCUUCGGAGUGUAAACUGCUUUUGCGUGGGAAAAAUUUUGAUUGUACCACGAGAAUAAGGGGUUGCUAACCUCGUGCCAGCAGCAGCGGUAAUACGAGGACCCCAAGCGUUAUCCGGAAUUACUGGGCGUAAAGAGCGAGUAGCCGGUUGUAUUAGUCUGAUGUUAAAUCCUACUGCUUAACGGUAGGGCCGCAUCAGAAACGGUACGACUGGAGCGGGUAAGAGGUAUGCGGAACGUGCGGUGUAGGGGUGAAAUCCAUUGAUAUCGCACGGAACACCAAAAGCGAAAGCAGCAUACUAGUGCUCUGCUGACGGUCAAUCGCGAAAGCGUGGGGAUCAAAAAGGAUUAGAUACCCUUGUAGUCCACGCCCUAAACUAUGCACACUAGCUAUUGGGAGCAUCGACCCUUCCAGUGGCGUAGCAAACGCGUUAAGUGUGCCGCCUGGGAAGUACGAGUGCAAGCUUAAAACUCAAAGAAAUAGCCGGGAAUUCGCACAAGCAGUGGAUCAUGCGGUUCAAUUCGACACUGACCGAGGAACCUCACCAGGGCUUGAAAUGCUAGUGAAAACUUUAGGAAACUAGAGUCCCCGCAAGGCACUAGCACAGGUGCUGCACGGCUGUCGUCAGCUCGUCAUGUGAAUGGUAUCCUUAAGUGGAUUAACGAGCGCAACCCCCAUUGUCUGUUACAAGUGUCAGGCAAAACUGCUGCGGUAACGCAGAGGAAGGUGGGGAUGACGUCAAGUCAGCGUGGCCCUCUGAUGUCCUGGGCUACACGCAUGAUACAAUGGGUGUUACAAUGGGUUGCCAAGCCGCGAGGCGGAGCUAAUCCCAUCAAAAGCACCCUCAGUUCGGAUAGGAGGCUGAAACUUGCCUCCUUGAAGCUGGAAUUGCUAGUAAUCGCAGAUCAGAAUGCUGCGGUGAAUACGUUCUCGAAUUUUGGACUCACUGCCCGUCAAUUCAAGGGAGCCGGGGAUACCUGAAGACCCACGUUUUUCUGUGGGGUUAUGGUAGAUUCGGUGACAGGGGAUAAGUCGUAACAAGGCAGGGGUAGCGGAAGCUGCUCCUGG